rnacentral:rRNA from 1 species
UACGAAGGGGGCUAGCGUUGCUCGGAAUCACUGGGCGUAAAGGGUGCGUAGGCGGGUCUUUAAGUCAGGGGUGAAAUCCCGGGGCUCAACCUCGGAACUGCCUUUGAUACUGCAAGUCUCGAGUCCGAUAGAGGUGAGUGGAAUUCCUAGUGUAGAGGUGAAAUUCGUAGAUAUUAGGAAGAACACCAGUGGCGAAGGCGGCUCACUGGAUCGGUACUGACGCUGAGGUGCGAAAGCGUGGGGAGCAAACAGG